rnacentral:rRNA from 1 species
AAACCUAAAGGCGCAAUGAAAGUGAAGGUACGCCCCGAGCGGACCGAGGGAGGAUGGCCGGCGGCUUCUGACGCCGGCCCGCACUCCCGGGGCGUCUCGCACUCAUCGCGAGGCGAGGCGCACCACGAGCGUACACGCUGGGACCCGAAAGAUGGUGAACUAUGCCUGGUCAGGACGAAGUCAGGGGAAACCCUGAUGGAGGUCCGUAGCGAUUCUGACGUGCAAAUCGAUCGUCGGAACUGGGUAUAGGGGCGAAAGACUAAUCGAACCAUCUAGUAGCUGGUUCCCUCCGAAGUUUCCCUCAGGAUAGCUGGCACUCGAACGAACUGUCAAUGCACGAGUCUCAUCCGGUAAAGCGAAUGAUUAGAGGCAUUGGGGUCGAAACGGCCUCAACCUAUUCUCAAACUUUAAAUGGGUGAGAUCUCCGGCUUGCUUGAACUGUGAAGCCGGAGAUCGGAUCAACGUGUGCCAAGUGGGCCACUUUUGGUAAGCAGAACUGGCGCUGUGGGAUGAACCAAACGUCGAGU